CGCCGCGUGCGGGAUGACGGCCUUCGGGUUGUAAACCGCUUUCAGCAGGGACGAAGCAACACGUGACGGUACCUGCAGAAGAAGCACCGGCCAACUACGUGCCAGCAGCCGCGGUGAUACGUAGGGUGCGAGCGUUGUCCGGAAUUAUUGGGCGUAAAGAGCUUGUAGGCGGUCUAUUGCGUCGAAAGUGAAAACUCAGGGCUCAACCCUGAGCCUGCUCUCGAUACGGGUAGACUUGAGGGAUGUAGGGGAGAACGGAAUUCUUGGUGGAGCGGUGGAAUGCGCAGAUAUCAGGAGGAACACCGGUGGCGAAGGCGGUUCUCUGGACAUUUCCUGACGCUGAGAAGCGAAAGCGUGGGUAGCAAACAGGCUUAGAUACCCUGGUAGUCCACGCCGUAAACGGUGGGUACUAGGUGUGGGGGACAUUCCACGUUCUCCGUGCCGCAGCUAACGCAUUAAGUACCCCGCCUGGGGAGUACGGCCGCAAGGCUAAAACUCAAAGGAAUUGACGGGGCCCCGCACAAGCGGCGGAGCAUGCGGAUUAAUUCGAUGCAACGCGAAGAACCUUACCUGGGUUUGACAUAUGCCGGAAAGGCCUAGAGAUAGGUCCCCCCUUGUG
rnacentral:rRNA from 1 species